rnacentral:rRNA from 1 species
GAUGAACGCUGGCGGCGUGCCUAAUACAUGCAAGUCGAGCGAACGGACGAGAAGCUUGCUUCUCUGAUGUUAGCGGCGGACGGGUGAGUAACACGUGGAUAACCUACCUAUAAGACUGGGAUAACUUCGGGAAACCGGAGCUAAUACCGGAUAAUAUUUUGAACCGCAUGGUUCAAAAGUGAAAGACGGUCUUGCUGUCACUUAUAGCUGGAUCCGAGCUGCAUUAGCUAGUUGGUAAGGUAACGGCUUACCAAGGCAACGAUGCAUAGCCGACCUGAGAGGGUGAUCGGCCACACUGGAACUGAGACACGGUCCAGACUCCUACGGGAGGCAGCAGUAGGGAAUCUUCCGCGAUGGGCGAAAGCCUGACGGAGCAACGCCGCGUGAGUGAUGAAGGUCUUCGGAUCGUAAAACUCUGCUAUUAGGGAAGAACAUAUGUGUAAGUAACUGUGCACAUCUUGACGGUACCUAAUCAGAAAGCCACGGCUAACUACGUG